UUCCUCCUUCCUCCCUCGGCCUCCAGCCUCCCCACUUCCUCACUCGCUUCCUCAGUUCGACGCAGUCAAGUGAGUUGCUUCUUUGAACUUCUUUUGUGUUUCAUGUUUACUAGUUUAAACUGGUUCUAUUUGCAUUACAGUUUAAGAAGAUGGAACCUGUUCUUGAUGGGACAACAGCAGGUGUCAGAAAUCAGCUUGUGUCUGGAUCAUCUGUGGGUUGGAGGAAAACCCUGACAGCUCGUCUCACCUGCAGCGGGUCGGAUCCAGUUAACGCUGGUCCGUCUCAGACUGUAACUCCCUGAGCUCGUAAAUCGCUGCUAAGGUGAAGUUCACAGAUGAGCAGCUAACAGCUAACAGCUAACAGCUAACAGCUAACGCUCACACACACGAGGUCUGACUCAAAGAGAAACAAACAGUUCUGUCAGAACAGAACCAGUCAGCAGCAGGGACCCGCUGCCCAAUCUGCAUGAGGAGCCUGAUCUGAAGCCCGAUCAGUCGACGAUCGCAGCAACUGGAAUCGCCUGAAAAAACCCGUGUGGAUGGUGUCAGCUGAUCCACGAAGGUAAAGCCUGGAGGAAAAAGUGGUUUAAGGUAAAACCCUUAGCUCUCACGUGGUCCCAUGAUGAUCAGACGGAAGCUGACGGGAAAGGACUGUGCUUUCCUCAAGUUGCUGCUAAUAAAUAAAGAUAAAUGAAAUGAAGACA
rnacentral:lncRNA from 1 species